AUUGAACGCUGGCGGCAUGCUUUACACAUGCAAGUCGGACGGCAGCACAGAGAAGCUUGCUUCUUGGGUGGCGAGUGGCGAACGGGUGAGUAACAUAUCGGAACGUACCGAGCAGUGGGGGAUAACUAAUCGAAAGAUUAGCUAAUACCGCAUAUAUUCUGAGGAAGAAAGCAGGGGACCAUUUGGCCUUGCGCUGUUUGAGCGGCCGAUAUCUGAUUAGCUAGUUGGUGGGGUAAAGGCCUACCAAGGCGACGAUCAGUAGCGGGUCUGAGAGGAUGAUCCGCCACACUGGGACUGAGACACGGCCCAGACUCCUACGGGAGGCAGCAGUGGGGAAUUUUGGACAAUGGGCGCAAGCCUGAUCCAGCCAUGCCGCGUGUCUGAAGAAGGCCUUCGGGUUGUAAAGGACUUUUGUCAGGGAAGAAAAGGACAGGGUUAAUACCCCUGUCUGAUG
rnacentral:rRNA from 1 species